GAUGAAGAACGCAGUGAAAUGCGAUAAGUAAUGUGAAUUGCAGAAUUCAGUGAAUCAUCGAAUCUUUGAACGCACAUUGCGCCCGCCAGCAUUCUGGCGGGCAUGCCUGUUCGAGCGUCAUUUCAACCCUCGAGCCCCCCCGGGGGCCUCGGUGUUGGGGGACGGCACACCAGCCGCCCCCGAAAUGCAGUGGCGACCUCGCCGCAGCCUCCCCUGCGUAGUAGCACACACCUCGCACCGGAGCGCGGAGACGGUCACGCCGUAAAACGCCCAACUUCUUAGAGUUGACCUCGGAUCAGGUAGGAAUACCCGCUGAACUUAAGCAUAUCAAUAAGCGGAGGA
rnacentral:misc_RNA from 1 species